rnacentral:rRNA from 1 species
CCCUUAGAUGUUCUGGGCCGCACGCGUGCUACACUGAGUGGAUCAGCGGGUCAGGUUGCGCGAAAGUGUUUCCUAAUCUUUAAAUCCGCUCGUGAUGGGGAUUGACGGUUGCAAUUUUCCGUCAUGAACGAGGAAUACCUUGUAAGCGCGGGUCAUCGUCCCGCGCUGAAUACGUCCCUGCCCUUUGUACACACCGCCCGUCGCUCCUACCGAUUGAGUGGUCCGGUGAGGCUUUGGGAUCUGGGCGGAAAGAGCGUUUCGCUGUUUCUGCCCGGAAAACUCAGUCGAACCUUAUCAUUUAGAGGAAGGAGAAGUCGUAACA